UUCCUUUUCACUUGAUGGGUCACAUCUUUAAAACGAAUGCUCGUCUGGCUGAAGUGAAGUCAACCCUGUGAAAUCCAAAGAUGGGAAAGUCUCAAAGUGUUCUUGCGAAGAAUGGAUACACCAUUGUGAAGGAGAUGGAAAAUGGUGUCCUUGGUACCGACAAAGACUGUGACAAUUAUUUUAUUAAAGAGAUACGUAAGAAAAACGACUGUGUCGAGAAUACACAGUUUGAAUGACAGCGAGAGGGCACAGAGGAUGGACAUGCUGGACAAUGCAAAGGAUGUCGCUCUCAGGAGAUCACUGGACAUCUGUGAACAAUGAUAAGUAGUUGGACGUCACAGCACACUCCAUAAAUGAAGAGUGGAGAUUGUGUCCAUUUGCAUUUACUGCGAGUCAA
rnacentral:lncRNA from 1 species